UCUUUUGCAGGUAGAAACACUGCAUGAUUUUGAAGCAGCAAAUUCUGAUGAACUUAACCUACUAAGGGGUGAUGUGGUGCUGGUGGUUCCCUCGGAUUCAGAAGCCGACCAGGAUGCAGGCUGGCUGGUGGGAGUGAAGGAAUCAGACUGGCUUCAGUACCGAGACCUUGCGUCCUACAAGGGCCUCUUUCCAGAGAACUUUACCCGGCGCUUGGAUUAGGGCAACGAGCUUUGCAGAAAGAGCUCAGUGAUCAGGUUUUUAAACCCUCAUGAAAAACCUGAAGGGUUCACUUUUGCUGUUAUGCUCUUAACGAUUUACAGACUGAUGCCAGACGAAGCCUGGGAGGAUGUGUCAAUGGAGCAUGUAUGCGAAAUGGAUAAUAGGGAAAAAAAGUAAAUUAAGGCAAAAGUCCUCGCUCAUUCCCAUGUUGUUGAUGACAGGUUUGUUUGUGCUUUGUCCAAGCUGUGGGGACUUGUGCAUUUGAUCCCCUCCCAAUUCUAAAGCAGCUUUCUCCAGACCAGACCUUAAUUUCUCUGUCUCUGGUAUUGAGUGAGUGCCCUGGAAAAGAUGUGAUAAAUUAUCUUGUAGCACCAGAUUAUUUUAUUCCCUUGCCCAAGUGUGAGCACGUGCUCUCUCUCCCUUUCAAGUUUACUGUGUUUAAACUGCUGCAAAACUUCUCCAUGUUCUCUCCCGACACAUCUAUACAUAUAUUGGACACACAGUCACACAGCUAGUUCCCAUGAGUGCUGGAUCUAUGUGUAUGUGGAAGGCUCCAUACACAUAGCUGCUUUCUUUCCUUUCCAUUGUAGCUCUUUGCCUCCCAAGUGUCAUUGAUACAUGCAUUGCUCUUAUUCUGUCUGGCAUUACACUUGCAGUUUUGCUUCAGGGCAAAACCAGCCAUCCCAUUGCCAAAACAGUGGACAGUAUCUGUGUUUGUACUGUGCAGUUUUCAGGAUGACAUGACAAAUAGCCCGUCCACGCUGCUGCCCCUUCAGAAGAAGCAGGGCCUGAUUUUCUGGCUGUCCAGCUGCUGUGGUCAGAGAUAGGCCAGUUGGGAUGAGCAGCUAAGUAGUCUUCACUUCUGCCUUUAUGAGAUUGGCUAGAAGAUGGGGUAUAUUAGUCCACGCCCAAAAGAACACUAUACAAAUAGCUCCUAAACAUUUCCACCUCUUUAUAUUUAUGCAACCCAUCUUCACAGAUUGUUCUAAAGAAAAAAUAUAGGUGAUGUAUGCUGUACCCACAAAUCAUCUGUAACAAAUUAUGUUUUCAGUGCUGUGUCAUUCCAAAUAAACCUUUGGUAGUCUUCAACAGUAACACUAAUUC